CAGUAGCCGCGGUAAUACGUAGGGUGCGAGCGUUAAUUGGAAUUACUGGGCGUAAAGCGUGCGCAGGCGGUUCGUUAAGACAGAUGUGAAAUCCCCGGGCUUAACCUGGGAACUGCAUUUGUGACUGGCGAGCUAGAGUAUGGCAGAGGGGGGUAGAAUUCCACGUGUAGCAGUGAAAUGCGUAGAGAUGUGGAGGAAUACCGAUGGCGAAGGCAGCCCCCUGGGCCAAUACUGACGCUCAUGCACGAAAGCGUGGGGAGCAAACAGGAUUAGAUACCCCAGUAGUCCCUGUCUCUUAUAC
rnacentral:rRNA from 1 species